AGGACGAACGCUGGCGGCGUGCUUAACACAUGCAAGUCACGGGGGUCCCGCAAGGGAUAACCGGCGAACGGGUGCGUAACACGUGAACAACCUGCCCUCGUGUGGGGAUAGCCGGGCUAACGCCCGGGUAAUACCGCAUACGGUCCUUCGGGGAGUCCCUGGGGAAGAAAGCUCCGGCGCACGGGGAGGGGUUCGCGGCCUAUCAGCUAGUUGGGGGGUAAUGGCCCACCAAGGCGACGACGGGUAGCUGGU
rnacentral:rRNA from 1 species